AGUAAAAUUGCUGGGUUGUACGUAAAGUUAUGAUUAACUUUUCAAGAAACUGUCAAACUGUUUUCCAAAGUGACUGUACCAUUUUACAUCUCCACCAGCAGU
rnacentral:pre_miRNA from 1 species